rnacentral:lncRNA from 10 species
AGUCUGUGGUUGAGGAAGGGUUUUGCUUUUUGUGCUCUGUAUUGGGAAGGCAGAUAAAAUGCCAGGUCUGGACUGCCUCUGGGGAUAACCUCACCCUGUGGGAUGUGAAUGAAUAGCAUCUUGCCUGGUAAAUCCACAGGAAUUGAUAAGGCAGGCGCAGUUCUCCCAAACAGGCCUUUUCUCUUUAAGCUGUAGCUGUGGUUUCUGCAGCAAUUUUGUUUUUGCCUUGAAAGAGGUGCUCUGGAUUAUCACACCUCCAUGUAUGACAAUUUGUACCUGCAUGGAAUUGAAGACUCGGAGGCUGUCUUUGACUGAGAUUCCCUAAGGAAGUGGCAAAGAAGCAGAAUGUGCUAUGAUCUCUGAAUGUUCCUGGGAGACUAAACAUGAUCUUUCCUUGCAAGAAAGUCACAGUUCUCUGUGUAAUAAACAGAGUUGGCUGCUCCCCAGAAUUCUCCAGUCAAGGAUUACUAUCUGCGAGCUGUUUGAACUUCUGCUCCUUGGGAAAUUAAGGGUUCAGCGGAUUCCUACACAAGCAGGCCGUCUGACUCCGAUGUCUCUUUGGAAGAGGACCGGGAAGCAAUUCG